rnacentral:rRNA from 1 species
UGCCACAGCCAUAUCACCCUGCAGCCCAAGACCGUUUACUCACUGAAGCUAAGCAGGGCUGAGCCUGGUCAGUAGAGCCAUGGGAGACCACUAGGGAACACUAGGUUGCUGUUGGAA